rnacentral:rRNA from 1 species
UACGGAGGGUGCAAGCGUUGUCCGGAAUCACUGGGCGUAAAGGGCGCGUAGGCGGCCGCCUAAGUCAGACGUGAAAUCCCUCGGCUCAACCGGGGAACUGCGUCUGAUACUGGGUGGCUUUGAAUUCGGGGAGAGGGAUGCGGAAUUCCAGGUGUAGCGGUGAAAAUGCGUAGAUAUCUGGAGGAACACCGGUGGCGAAGGCGG